AUUGAACGCUGGCGGCAUGCCUUACACAUGCAAGUCGAACGGCAGCACGGGUGCUUGCACCUGGUGGCGAGUGGCGAACGGGUGAGUAAUACAUCGGAACAUGUCCUGUAGUGGGGGAUAGCCCGGCGAAAGCCGGAUUAAUACCGCAUACGAUCCACGGAUGAAAGCGGGGGACCUUCGGGCCUCGCGCUAUAGGGUUGGCCGAUGGCUGAUUAGCUAGUUGGUGGGGUAAAGGCCUACCAAGGCGACGAUCAGGAGCUGGUCUGAGAGGACGACCAGCCACACUGGGACUGAGACACGGCCCAGACUCCUACGGGAGGCAGCAGUGGGGAAUUUUGGACAAUGGGCGAAAGCCUGAUCCAGCAAUGCCGCGUGUGUGAAGAAGGCCUUCGGGUUGUAAAGCACUUUUGUCCGGAAAGAAAUCCUUGGCUCUAAUACAGUCGGGGGAUGACGGUACCGGAAGAAUAAGCACCGGCUAACUACGUG
rnacentral:rRNA from 1 species